UGCAGUCGAACGGCAGCAUGACCUAGCUUGCUAGGUUGAUGGCGAGUGGCGAACGGGUGAGUAAUGCACCGGAACGUACCCAGUAACGGGGGAUAACGCACCGAAAGGUGUGCUAAUACCGCAUACGCCCUGAGGGGGAAAGCGGGGGAUCGUAAGACCUCGCGUUAUUGGAGCGGCCGAUGCCGGAUUAGCUAGUUGGUGGGGUAAAGGCCCACCAAGGCGACGAUCCGUAGCUGGUCUGAGAGGACGACCAGCCACACUGGGACUGAGACACGGCCCAGACUCCUACGGGAGGCAGCAGUGGGGAAUUUUGGACAAUGGGCGAAAGCCUGAUCCAGCCAUGCCGCGUGAGUGAAGAAGGCCUUCGGGUUGUAAAGCUCUUUCGCAAGGAAAGAAAACUUAGCUACUAAUACUAGCUGAGGAUGACGGUACCUUGAUAAGAAGCACCGGCUAACUACGUGCCAGCAGCCGCGGUAAUACGUAGGGUGCGAGCGUUAAUCGGAAUUACUGGGCGUAAAGCGUGCGCAGGCGGUUCGAUAAGUCUGAUGUGAAAUCCCCGGGCUCAACCUGGGAACUGCGUUGGAAACUGUCGAGCUAGAGUGUAGAAGAGGGGGGUAGAAUUCCACGUGUAGCAGUGAAAUGCGUAGAGAUGUGGAGGAAUACCGAUGGCGAAGGCAGCCCCCUGGGCUAACACUGACGCUCAUGCACGAAAGCGUGGGGAGCAAACAGGAUUAGAUACCCUGGUAGUCCACGCCCUAAACGAUGUCUACUAGUUGUUGGAGGAGUAAAAUCCUUUAGUAACGCAGCUAACGCGUGAAGUAGACGCCUGGGGAGUACGGUCGCAAGAUUAAAACUCAAAGAAUUGACGGGGGCCCGCACAAGCGGUG
rnacentral:rRNA from 1 species